AUUGAACGCUGGCGGCAGGCCUAACACAUGCAAGUCGAGCGAGAGGCGGACGGGUGAGUAAUGUAUGGGGACUGCCCGAUAGAGGGGGAUAACUACUGGAAAAGGUGGCUCAUACAGCAUACUGUCGGAUAACCCAUAUGGGAUUAGCUAGUAGGUAAGGUAAUGGCUUACAUAGGCGACGGUCCCUAGCUGGUCUGAGAGGAUGAUCAGCCACACUGGGACUGAGACACGGCCCAGACUCCUACGGAGGCAGCAGUGGGGAAUAUUGAGCAAUUGGCGCAAGCCUGAUGCAGCCAUGCCGCGUGUAUGAAGAAGGCCCUAGGGUUGUAAAGUACUUUCAGUCGGGAGGCGUUACCGACAGAAGAAGCACCGGCUAACUCCGUGCCAGCAGCCGCGGUAAUAC
rnacentral:rRNA from 1 species